rnacentral:rRNA from 1 species
UACGGGGGGGCAAGCGUUGUUCGGAAUUACUGGGCGUAAAGGGCUCGUAGGUGGCCAACUAAGUCAGACGUGAAAUCCCUCAGCUUAACUGGGGAACUGCGUCUGAUACUGGAUGGCUUGAGUUUGGGAGAGGGAUGCGGAAUUCCAGGUGUAGCGGUGAAAUGCGUAGAUAUCUGGAGGAACACCGGUGGCGAAGGCGGCAUCCUGGACCAACACUGACACUGAGGAGCGAAAGCCAGGGGAGCAAACGGG